rnacentral:ncRNA from 1 species
UACAGCACCGCGUGGGCAAGUGGAAACACCCCCAAGGCAUUCGCAUAAUGGAGCCUGAACAGCGCGUAGUGCUGUAUA